CGCCUUUUGAUAUAUAUUUAUAAAAGGUCCUGCCUGCCCAGUGACUCUGUUCAACGGCCGCGGUAUCAUGACCGUGCAAAGGUAGCGUAAUCACUUGUUUUUUAAAUAAAGACUAGUAUGAACGGCAACACGAGAGUUCAACUGUCUCACCAAAUUGGUCAGUGAAAUUAAUCUCUCCGUGCAGAAGCGGAGUUAAUUCUAUAAGACGAGAAGACCCUGUGGAGCUUUAAAUCUAAGCUAAUAGAUAUAAUAUUAUAGCAUACGAUUUUAGGUUGGGGCGACCGUGAGGAAAAAUAAACCCUCAAGAUAUUAAUUAGAGAGACAUCUCAACCAAAUAGCAACACUAAUCUAUUGACCCAACAAUUGAUCAACGAACCAAGUUACCCCAGGGAUAACAGCGCAAUCCACUCAUAGAGCCCAUAUCGACGAGCGGGUUUACGACCUCGAUGUUGGAUCAGGACCACCUAGUGGCGCAGCAACUACUAAGGGUUCGUUUGUUCCACGAUUAAAGUCCU
rnacentral:rRNA from 1 species